GUAGAUACACCGGUUAGUCAAGCUGCUACAAUGCUCCUCCUGUAGUCUUCAUUUGUUCCUGUUGGAAACUAUUUGACCAAAUUCUUGUAAAGAUGACGUAAUUUAUAGCCAUGGUCGUCUGUCGUUUAACUCGCCGGCCCACAGGUGGCCUGUCGCCAUAGCGUUAGCAUUGUGUUGUUGAAUCUUGUACCCCAACCUUCGAGAAAAAAAGAUAUUUUUCUGUCCGUGUACCUUAAGCUGGUGUCACAAUGAAAUAAUAGAAAUGGAGAUGAUGCUUCAAGUCAGCAGCUGAAUACUUUUGAUCCGGUGACGCCCUCUAGUGGACAGGAUUGAAAGAACCAGUACACUGUUUUGGGGGAUUUGUUCACGCAUAGACGACACCGGGUCAACGCAAAAUCUGUGUGUUGGAUGGGAGUCAAGUGGAGGGCAAGCACCUGGCCGAGAUGACCUUUACCUGCAGACGUGCAACAAAGAGGGAUGUGGCGAGAAAGGUUUCAACAUUUUCAGAGUGGACUGCCAUUUCCCUUCUGACCCGGGGACCGCGGCCCUGUCCUCGCCUCAGCAGGUGGAAGGCCGCUGUGGGGAUACUUCUAUCAGGCAUUCCACGAGUACAAAACAGGAAGGAGGAGAAGCCGAAUUGUAAAGAUCUUUUGAGGUCCUGCCCACGACCCACCUGCCCUGAGCAUUCUGCUUUCCACUUUGCUGGUGGAAAUGCUGUUGAAGAGCGAGAGAGUGAGGGUAAGUAGGUGCGAGGCCACCCCUCCCUCACAUUUCCCUCU